rnacentral:rRNA from 1 species
AGUAAUGUCUGGGAAACUGCCUGAUGGAGGGGGAUAACUACUGGAAACGGUAGCUAAUACCGCAUAACAUCGCAAGACCAAAGAGGGGGACCUUCGGGCCUCUUGCCAUCGGAUGUGCCCAGAUGGGAUUAGCUAGUAGGUGGGGUAAUGGCUCACCUAGGCGACGAUCCCUAGCUGGUCUGAGAGGAUGACCAGCCACACUGGAACUGAGACACGGUCCAG